CUGGAAUGAUUCUUGGCUCAAACCUAUAUGGCCCCUGGAUUGGACUGCGGCCGAUCAGGCUGUUGGUGAGGUAAUGGCCCACCAAACCUAUUACCGGUACGGGCUCUGAGAGGAGGAGCCCGGAGAUGGGCACUGAGACAAGGGCCCAGGCCCUAUGGGGCGCAGCAGGCGCGAAACCUCUGCAAUAGGCGAAAGCUUGACAGGGUUACUCUGAGUGAUUUCCGCUAAGGGAAUCUUUUGGCACCUCUAAAAAUGGUGCAGAAUAAGGGGUGGGCAAGUCUGGUGUCAGCCGCCGCGGUAAUACCAGCACCCCGAGUGGUCGGGACGAUUAUUGGGCCUAAAGCAUCCGCAGCCGGUCCUGCAAGUCUUCCGUUAAAUCCAGCUGCUCAACAGAUGGGCUGCGGGAGAUACUACAGGGCUAGGAGGCGGGAGAGGCAAGCGGUACUUUAUGGGUAGGGGUAAAAUCCGCUGAUCCAUAGAAGACCACCAGUGGCGAAGGCGGCUUGCCAGAACGCGCUCGACGGUGAGGGAUGAAAGCUGGGGGAGCAAACCGGAUUAGAUACCCGGGUAGUCCCAGCUGUAAACGAUGCAGACUCGGUGAUGGGUCGGCCUCGCGCCUGCCCAGUGCCGCAGGGAAGCCGUUAAGUCUGCCGCCUGGGGAGUACGGUCGCAAGACUGAAACUUAAAGGAAUUGGCGGGGGAGCACCACAAGGGGUGAAGCCUGCGGUUCAAUUGGACUCAACGCCGGU
rnacentral:rRNA from 1 species